rnacentral:rRNA from 1 species
GACGAACGCUGGCGGCGUGCUUAACACAUGCAAGUCGAACGGAAAGGCCCUGCUUUUGUGGGGUGCACGAGUGGCGAACGGGUGAGUAACACGUGAGUAUCCUGCCCCUGUCUUUGGGAUAACUUCAGGGAACUGGGGCGAAUAUCGGAUAGGAGCUACUGCUGCAUGGUGGGGGUUGGAAAGUUUCGGCGGUGGGGGAUAGACUGGCGGGUUAUGAGCUUGUUGGUGGGGUAGGGGCUUACAAAGGUUUUGAAGGGUAGCCGGCCUGGGAGGGUGACCGGGGACCAUGGGCCUGCGGUACGGACCAGACGGCUACCGGCCGCAGCAGUGGAGAACAUUGCACAACAGGCGCAAGUCAGAUGUGGCGACGCCGCGUGCGGAAUGCCGGGUUUCGAGUUGUGAACAACUUUGGACUUUAACGAAGAGGUCUUGACGGUAAUGGGUCAGAAAGCAACGGCUAACUACGUG